UGUCUUCGGGAUCCUUUAUUACAUCAGUCUCAGAGAGGCCCAGGGUCACACAGUGAGUGACAGUGACAGGGCUUUUAAGCCCAAUAUACUGCUCGCCACCUCAGUGGCUUCCAGUCACAUGGGAGGUCAGCUAGUCACUGGAGCUGGAAUAUACACAAUCCCUCUCUUGACUUUGCCUCCGCUUCUUAGCCUCACGUGCUAAAAUCCUACCCAUCUGGCCACUUUUAUUUCUAAAAUGUUUUAUAGAAUGAGCUUGUAAUUUCACCCUAAAUAUUUUGUAAAUAUUUUGCAAAUGUCUUUUUAAUUCAACUUACAAUUCAUAAAGUCUUUCUUAACCCCAUUUGUCAAGGCUUGAAUUAAUUGCUGCUUCUGAAAGCUUUCAUUACUGCCCAACCAAACAUGUCUCUCCUAAACGCUUCCACAUGUCUGAGACUCUCACGCUGGUCUUACGCGGAGUUAUGUGAGGUGUAUCUUAUAAAUCAGGUUGUGAGUGUCUUGCGACCAGGGUGUGUGUCUUUGCAGCCCCAACACAUAAUACAAGGAUUAUCAGCACACCGGCCGUACUUUAUCAGUUAGGCCAAAACGAGAACUUCGACACUUUUUUGACUUCAGUGACAAGGCUGUCAAAGGCCCCAUCGAGGAAGUGAUCAAGAGACCGCUGAGUCCUCAGCCACACCACUGAGACAAGCGUAGGAGCCAGGUAGGACCAGAAUGGGAUAGGAGUAGGGACAGGGGAAAAGCUAUUCCAUGCCCAGCAACUAAGCAGUUUGUCUCUGGGAACUCUCCUCUGCUUCUGCUUUUCAGGACAUUCCCACCCAGAAAUGCCAGAGCCACAGCCACUGAGAGACGAACACGAUACAGAAUAGGCCAGUGGAGUCUUGAAAUGCUGUGGAGUCCAUAAAGCCUUGGCCGGAUCCUUGUCCCAGAAUUCUGCCACAAUUUCUCAGCUGGCUGACCUUGGUCUUUUUAUUUUGCUAGUCUGUUCCCUUGUCUUUAAAAUGAAGACCAGGUAGGCUCAAGGAUGCCUUCCAGCUUUAAGAGGAGUGAGGCCUAUAUUCCCCUGUGUGUGUGUCCCAGCUACCCAUCUAUAGAAUUAAAACAGCAGCAAUGAAACAGGAGGUGUGCGCAUCCUCGACUCUCGAGUUCAGCAAGCUUGGUAAGUAAGUGCCAGGUGUGUCCAAAGGGUCACUCUCCUUCUUAAUGAGGAGCAGAGGCUCCUAAAGGAACAUGGCCUCAGGGAAGGCGAGGCAUGGGAAGGUAGGACAGACCUUCCAAUAGCUACAAGAAGGUGCCAGCGCUGUGCAGGAGGGAAGCAAAAUCAGAGAACAUCUUCACACUGCUCCCAAGGGUCCAAGAGAUAGAGGCUGGGCAUGGUGGCUCCCACUUAUAAUCCUAGCACUUUGGGAGGCCAAGGCGGGAGGAUUGCUUGGGUCCAGGAGUUUGAGACCAGCCUGGGCAACACAGUGAGACUCCGUCUCUACUAAAAAUGACAAACACAAAAUAGCUGGGCAUGGUGGCACGUGCCUGUAGUCCCAGCUACUGGGGAGGCUGAAGCAGGAGGAUCUCUUGAGUCUAGGAAAUUGAGGCUGCAGUGAGCUAUGAUCAUGCCACUGCACUCCAGCCUGGGCAACAGAGACCCUGCCUCAAAAAAAAAAAAAAAAAAAAAAAAAAAA
ensembl:lncRNA